rnacentral:rRNA from 1 species
UACAAAGGGUGCGAGCGUUAAUCGGAAUUACUGGGCGUAAAGCGCACGUAGGCGGCUUGGUAUGUCGGGUGUGAAAUCCCCGGGCUCAACCUGGGAACUGCAUCCGAAACUGCCUUGCUCGAGUAUGGGAGAGGGAAGUGGAAUUUCCGGUGUAGCGGUGAAAUGCGUAGAUAUCGGAAGGAACAUCAGUGGCGAAGGCGACUUCCUGGACCAAUACUGACGCUCAGGUGCGAAAGCGUGGGGAGCAAACAGG